rnacentral:rRNA from 1 species
UUGAACGCUGGCGGCAGGCCUAACACAUGCAAGUCGCGCGGAUGAAGGGAGCUUGCUCCUGGAUUCAGCGGCGGACGGGUGAGUAAUGCCUAGGAAUCUGCCUGGUAGUGGGGGAUAACGUCCGGAAACGGGCGCUAAUACCGCAUACGUCCUGAGGGAGAAAGUGGGGGAUCUUCGGACCUCACGCUAUCAGAUGAGCCUAGGUCGGAUUAGCUAGUUGGUGGGGUAAAGGCCUACCAAGGCGACGAUCCGUAACUGGUCUGAGAGGAUGAUCAGUCACACUGGAACUGAGACACGGUCCAGACUCCUACGGGAGGCAGCAGUGGGGAAUAUUGGGCAAUGGGCGAAAGCCUGAUCCAGCCAUGCCGCGUGUGUGAAGAAGGUCUUCGGAUUGUAAAGCACUUUAAGUUGGGAGGAAGGGCAGUAAGUUAAUACCUUGCUGUUUUGACGUAACCAACAGAAUAAGCACCGGCUAACUUCGUG